UACGUAGGGGGCAAGCGUUGUCCGGAAUUAUUGGGCGUAAAGCGCACGCAGGCGGUCGUGUAAGUUUAGAGUGACAGUGCUUGGCUUAACCAAGCAAGGCCUCUGAAAACUGCACGACUUGAGAACCAGAGAGGGACAUAGAAUUCCGGGUGGAGUGGUGAAAUGCGUAGAGAUCGGAAAGAACACCAACGGCGAAAGCACUCUGCUGGGCCGACACUGACACUGAGAGACGAAAGCUAGGGGAGCGAAUGGG
rnacentral:rRNA from 1 species